rnacentral:rRNA from 1 species
CAGCAGCCGCGGUAAUACGAAGGGUGCAAGCGUUACUCGGAAUUACUGGGCGUAAAGCGUGCGUAGGUGGUGGUUUAAGUCCGUUGUGAAAGCCCUGGGCUCGACCUGGGAAUUGCAGUGGAUACUGGGUCACUAGAGUGUGGUAGAGGAUAGUGGAAUUUCCGGUGUAGCAGUGAAAUGCGUAGAGAUCGGAAGGAACAUCUGUGGCGAAGGCGACUAUCUGGGCCAACACUGACACUGAGGCACGAAAGCGUGGGGAGCAAACAGGAUUAGAUACCCCCGUAGUCCCUGUCUCUUAUAC